UGCUAGGAAGCUAAACAGGGUGCC
rnacentral:piRNA from 1 species